UAAAUUAUAGGUCUUAUGACAAAUAACCUCAUUCUGCAAUGCUACAUUUAUAAAUUGUGUUUAUUGUUUACUAACGUUCUUGUAUAAAUUUUGUUAGCUCGUUAAUCGCAGUAAAUGAUAUAAAACAUUAUUUUUUAUUUAAGUGCAAAAUGACUUCAAUAGCUCCAUCAGAUUCUGAAUCCAAUGUAAGCGGAUUUGUGCGCUACAGUGACAAGAAUUUCAAGCAUCUUUAUACAUCUUUGAUUGAGAAUAUGGAGAUAAUUAAUCAAGAUUUGUUACAAGUGGAGAAGAACUUGAAAGAUAUUGUCAAACAAGCUGGCCCCUUGGAGAGUCAACUUUCAGUUAUGUUGCAAUCUCUGCCUAAGCCUAAUAUAAACAUGUCGAUGGAAACCAACUAAACCUACGCCACAAGACAAAUUAAACCAAACACUUACCGGCAGAAAUGUACAAAACCGAACUAGACUGUAUUAUUUGAAUAAGCUUCAUAAUUUUCUGUUUCAUGUUGUAAGAACCAAUUUUCGCAUUAUUAAUAUAUAAUCUCUUCUGGUAUAUAAUAGUUUUGUUGCUUUAAUAUUACCUUGUGUUGUAGCUAAUUUUUACACUUGUGCAUAUAAGCUUUGUUAACAAGUUUUAUCAGUAUUGAAUCAACAUCCCAUAAUUUUAUGAAAUGUUUAUCAUAUGCAUUAAAUUACUUAAAAUGUCUAUCAUAUAAUAUGUAAAGAAAUGUUAUUAUGCGUACAUUUAUUACAAUAAUUGGGCCAAUCUAUUUAAAUAUUCUAAUUCAAGCUAUAUUCCGUGUUGCACAUUGUUGACUUUUGUAAAACUAUAAUGCCAUUUUAGAAUGAAAGUAAAUAGCAGUGGUUCUAGAAAUUAAAUAACUAAUGUAAGAUGCAAAUCUCUAAAAUAUACAGGCCAUACUACUUCUAUAUUAAUAAUCCACAACUCUCAGGUUAUACAAAAAAACCUACAUUAAAAAAUAUUAUGUAAUGAUAACUAAUAUAAAACAUAGUUAUACUUGAUGUACUCAACAUUUAAAUGGUUUGUUCAACUUAUAUGUUUACAUUCAUGUAUUUGUUUAUGAACGAAGACUGUUAGUAAACUUGAUGUUAUAAACUUGUUAUAUUUAAUAAAUAUUUAUCACUUUG